rnacentral:rRNA from 1 species
UGGAAGGGGUGUAUUUAUUAGAUUAAAAACCAAUGCCCCUCGGGGCUCUCUGGUGAAUCAUGAUAACUAGUCGAAUCGACAGGCCUUGCGCCGGCGAUGGCUCAUUCAAAUUUCUUCCCUAUCAACUUUCGAUGUUUGGGUCUUGUCCAAACAUGGUGGCAACGGGUAACGGAGGGUUAGGGCUCGACCCCGGAGAAGGAGCCUGAGAAACGGCUACUACAUCCAAGGAAGGCAGCAGGCGCGCAAAUUACCCAAUCCCGACACGGGGAGGUAGUGACAAUAAAUACUGAUACAGGGCUCUUUUGGGUCUUGUAAUCGGAAUGAGUACAAUUUAAAUCCCUUAACGAGGAACAAUUGGAGGGCAAGUCUGGUGCCAGCAGCCGCGGUAAUUCCAGCUCCAAUAGCGUAUAUUAAAGUUGUUGUGGUUAAAAAGCUCGUAGAUGAACCUUGGGCCUGGCUGGCCGGUCCGCCUCACCGCGUGCACUGGUCCGGCCGGGCCUUUCCCUCUGCGGAACCCCAUGCCCUUCACUGGGUGUGGCGGGGAACCAGGACUUUUAC